AUGCUUGCUUCAGCAGCACAUAUACUAAAAUUGGAAUAAUACAGAGAAGAUUACCAUGACCCCUGUGCAAAGAUGACAUGCAAAUUUGUGAAACAUUCCAUAUUUUA
rnacentral:snRNA from 1 species